rnacentral:tRNA from 1 species
GGAGGGGUGGCUGAGUGGCUUAAAGCGGCGCCCUGCUAAGGCGUUGGGCCUCGUGCCCACGAGGGUUCGAAUCCCUCCCCCUCCG